rnacentral:rRNA from 1 species
AUUGAACGCUGGCGGCAUGCUUUACACAUGCAAGUCGAACGGCAGCGCGGUCUUCGGCUUGGCGGCGAGUGGCGAACUGGUGAGUAAUGCAUCGGAACGUGCCCAGUAGUGGGGGAUAGCCCGGCGAAAUCCGGAUUAAUACCCCAUACGACCUGAGGGCGAACGCGGGGGACCGGAAGGCCUCCCGCUAUUGCAGCGGCCGAUGUCGGAUUAGCUAGUUGGUGGGGUAAAGGCUUACCAAGGCGACGAUCCGUAGCUGGUCUGAGAGGACGACCAGCCACACUGGAACUGAGACACGGCCCAGACUCCUACGGGAGGCAGCAGUGGGGAAUUUUGGACAAUGGGGGCAACCCUGAUCCAGCCAUGCCGCGUGCGGGAAGAAGGCCUUCGGGUUGUAAACCGCUUUUGUUCGGGAAGAAAACCUCUGGGCUAAUACCCCGGGGGGAUGACGGUACCGGAAGAAUAAGCACCGGCUAACUACGUG